CCCCGAGCGGAGCGGGCCCAGGACCCUAUCGGCUGUCGAGCCGGUGCUGCCGCGGCCACCGCCACCGCCCAGGGGCUCCGGGGCUGUGGGGAGCGGCUGAACUCAAUACCGCCUCCGCGCUGACUGGAAGGCACUGCGGCCGCGCCUGCCUGCCCCACCUCGUAAGGGCCUGUGACCUCACGAGGCCAGCCGCCGGGCGCUGCAUUCGAGCGAACUUCAGAUUGAAAAGCAUGUACUUGAGUAGCUGUAUUUAAGGAAUUACACCCAAGAAGUCUCAUCUUCCCUGGACUUACGUAGAGGAUAAGAUUCUGAACUUUGAAUUGAUGCUAUAAUGGGAUAAGACUUUGGGGCCUUAGAAGGGAGACCAGGACCUGCCAGCCAAGACAAUAUUUUGGGUUCUUUCCCAAAAUACUUAGUCAUCUAAAAUCAUAACCCUAUUGAAAGCUGCCUUCCUGUUCAACCCCAGUCAACAACUAAAACAGAGGCAUGUCACCCCUCUGGGGGUCAGGCUGAGUAUACUCUGCAGAGCUCUGCUUCCCACAAAUGUCAGGAGAACAAAGGCCAUGAAGGUGUUAAAGGGAAGCAAGCGAUCGACAGCAUUGGUUGGUGACAAACCUGUGGCUGGUCUGUGUAUGAUGGGAUGGAUUCCUCCUGCUCCCAGAAGGCACUGUACUUUCAGUGUUCAGGGCAGCCUUGCCUUAGUGCCUCAAACCUAUCCCUACAUCCUGCAGUAAACUUGGAAAGGUAACACCUCUAACCAUCAGGCCUUCCUCUGAAGCACAGUCAAGUUGCUCUUGGCAACCAUCUCAAUUUUAAUAGUGCAGAUGCCAUGUGCUGUAAAGUCCUAAAAUUUAAAUUCUUUAUUUCUUGACAUCAUUGCCUCAAAAAA
rnacentral:lncRNA from 1 species